rnacentral:rRNA from 1 species
UACGUAGGGUGCAAGCGUUAAUCGGAAUUACUGGGCGUAAAGCGUGCGCAGGCGGUUGUGCAAGACAGAUGUGAAAUCCCCGGGCUCAACCUGGGAAUUGCAUUUGUGACUGCACGGCUAGAGUGUGUCAGAGGGGGGGUAGAAUUCCGCGUGUAGCAGUGAAAUGCGUAGAUAUGCGGAGGAACACCGAUGGCGAAGGCAAUCCCCUGGGCCUGCACUGACGCUCAUGCACGAAAGCGUGGGGGAGCAAACAGG